rnacentral:tRNA from 1 species
GCCUUCAUGGUGUAGUGGUCAGCACGCUCGGCGCGUAUUCGAGAGUUCCUUGGUUCGAGUCCCGGCAAGGGCA